rnacentral:rRNA from 1 species
AUUACUCCUACGGGAGGCAGCAGUCGAGAAUCUUCCGCAAUGGGCGAAAGCCUGACGGAGCGACGCCGCGUGGAGGACGAAGGCCUUCGGGUUGUAAACUCCUGUCACGAGUUAAGAAGGCGCAUGUGCGAACAGCAUAGGCGUUUGACGUAAGCUCGAGAGGAAGCACUGGCUAACUCUGUGCCAGCAGCCGCGGUAAUAAU